GACGAACGCUGGCGGCGUGCUUAACACAUGCAAGUCGAACGGAAAGGCCCUGCUUUUGUGGGGUGCUCGAGUGGCGAACGGGUGAGUAACACGUGAGUAACCUGCCCUUGACUUUGGGAUAACUUCAGGAAACUGGGGCUAAUACCGGAUAGGAGCUCCUGCUGCAUGGUGGGGGUUGGAAAGUUUCGGCGGUUGGGGAUGGACUCGCGGCUUAUCAGCUCGUUGGUGGGGUAGUGGCUUACCAAGGCUUUGACGGGUAGCCGGCCUGAGAGGGUGACCGGCCACAUUGGGACUGAGAUACGGCCCAGACGCCUACGGGAGGCAGCAGUGGGGAAUAUUGCACAAUGGGCGGAAGCCUGAUGCAGCAACGCCGCGUGCGGGAUGACGGCCUUCGGGUUGUAAACCGCUUUCGCCUGUGACGAAGCGUGAGUGACGGUAAUGGGUAAAGAAGCACCGGCUAACUACGUG
rnacentral:rRNA from 1 species